AGUGAACGCUGGCGGUAGGCCUAACACAUGCAAGUCGAACGGCAGCACAGAGGAGCUUGCUCCUUGGGUGGCGAGUGGCGGACGGGUGAGGAAUACAUCGGAAUCUACUCUGUCGUGGGGGAUAACGUAGGGAAACUUACGCUAAUACCGCAUACGACCUACGGGUGAAAGCAGGGGAUCUUCGGACCUUGCGCGAUUGAAUGAGCCGAUGUCGGAUUAGCUAGUUGGCGGGGUAAAGGCCCACCAAGGCGACGAUCCGUAGCUGGUCUGAGAGGAUGAUCAGCCACACUGGAACUGAGACACGGUCCAGACUCCUACGGGAGGCAGCAGUGGGGAAUACUGGACAAUGGGCGCAAGCCUGAUCCAGCCAUACCGCGUGGGCGAAGAAGGCCUUCGGGUUGUAAAGCCCUUUUGUUGGGAAAGAAAUCCAUGUGGUUAAUACCCGGGUGGGAUGACGGUACCCAAAGAAUAAGCACCGGCUAACUUCGUGCCAGCCGCCGCCGUAA
rnacentral:rRNA from 1 species